GCGUUCAUAGUGUAGCGGUUGAUCACGUUGCUUUCCCAAAGCAGAGGCCGCGGGUUCGAUCCCCGCUGGACGCA